rnacentral:rRNA from 1 species
UGGGGAAUAUUGCACAAUGGGCGCAAGCCUGAUGCAGCCAUGCCGCGUGUGUGAAGAAGGCCUUCGGGUUGUAAAGCACUUUUGUCCGGAAAGAAAUCCUUGGCUCUAAUACAGUCGGGGAUGACGGUACCGGAAGAAUAAGCACCGGCUAACUACGUGCCAGCAGCCGCGGUAAUACGUAGGGUGCAAGCGUUAAUCGGAAUUACUGGGCGUAAAGCGUGCGCAGGCGGUUUGCUAAGACCGAUGUGAAAUCCCCGGGCUCAACCUGGGAACUGCAUUGGUGACUGGCAGGCUAGAGUAUGGCAGAGGGGGGUAGAAUUCCACGUGUAGCAGUGAAAUGCGUAGAGAUGUGGAGGAAUACCGAUGGCGAAGGCAGCCCCCUGGGCCAAUACUGACGCUCAUGCACGAAAGCGUGGGGAGCAAACAGGAUUAGAUACCCUGGUAGUCCACGCCCUAAACGAUGUCAACUAGUUGUUGGGGAUUCAUUUCCUUAGUAACGUAGCUAACGCGUGAAGUUGACCGCCUGGGGAGUACGGUCGCAAGAUUAAAA